rnacentral:rRNA from 1 species
UACGUAGGGUGCGAGCGUUGUCCGGAAUUAUUGGGCGUAAAGAGCUCGUAGGCGGUCUGUCGCGUCGGUCGUGAAAACCUGCAGCUUAACUGUGGGCGUGCGGUCGAUACGGGCAUGACUGGAGUUCGGCAGGGGAGACUGGAAUUCCUGGUGUAGCGGUGAAAUGCGCAGAUAUCAGGAGGAACACCGGUGGCGAAGGCGGCAUCCUGGACCGAUAUUGACGCUGAUGCGCGAAAGCCAGGGGAGCAAACGGG